rnacentral:rRNA from 1 species
UACGAAGGGGGCUAGCGUUGUUCGGAAUUACUGGGCGUAAAGCGCGCGCAGGCGGUUCUUCAAGUCAGAGGUGAAAGCCCAGAGCUCAACUCUGGAAUGGCCUUUGAGACUAGAGAACUAGGGUACGGGAGAGGUGAGUGGAAUUCCGAGUGUAGAGGUGAAAUUCGUAGAUAUUUGGAAGAACACCAGUGGCGAAGGCGGCUCACUGGCCCGUUACCGACGCUCAGGCGCGACAGCGUGGGGAGCAAACAGG